CGAGCAAGUCAGAUGAUCGCGUGGGCAUGUUCCGCAAGGACGCUCACGAGGAAAGUCCGAGCUCCAUAGGGCAGGGUGCCGGGUAAUCCCCGGUGGAGGCAACUCUAAGGAAAGUGCAACAGAAAGGAAACCGCCCGACGCAUAGAAAUAUAGAUUGACAACCUUAUUUAUAUAACAUAUAAACAAAAUUUUCAAUCUUAUUUGGAAACAAGUAUAUAUUUUUAUGCGUCGGGUAAGGAUGAAAGGGCGAGGUAAGAGCUCACCGGCGGCUGGGUAACCAGCCGGCUAUGUAAACCCCACCUGGUGCAAGACCAAGUUAGGACAAAAAAGCAGUGGCCCGCUGUGUCCAGUGGUAGGUCGCUUGAGCCUUUCGGUGACGAAAGGCCUAGAUAGAUGAUCAUCUAAUACAGAACUCGGCUUACAGACUAGCUCGCUCU
rnacentral:RNase_P_RNA from 1 species